AGAAAGUCAUAGGGGUUAUGGGGUUGACUUGAAAUCAAUCUAAGGGGGUUCAAUUCCUCCCUUUCUUGA
rnacentral:tRNA from 1 species